rnacentral:rRNA from 1 species
AAAGGAAUUGACGGGGGCCCGCACAAGCGGAGGAGCAUGUGGUUUAAUUCGAUGAUACGCGAGGAACCUUACCCGGGCUUGAACGUAAUACCGAUGUACAGGAAACUGUGCAGCCUACGGGGGUAUUGCGAGGUGCUGCAUGGUUGUCGUCAGCUCGUGCCGUGAGGUGUUAGGUUAAGUCCUGCAACGAGCGCAACCCUUACACAUAGUUACCAGCAUUUAAGGUGGGCACUCUAUGUGAACUGCCUACGCAAGUAGAGAGGAAGGUGGGGAUGACGUCAAAUCAGCACGGCCCUUAUGUCCGGGGCUACACACGUGCUACAAUGGUAUGUACAGAGGGCAGCGACCACGCGAGUGGGAGCCAAUCCUCAAAACAUAUCUCAGUUCGGAUUGGAGUCUGUAACUCGACUCUAUGAAGUUGGAUUCGCUAGUAAUCGCGCAUCAGCCAUGGCGCGGUGAAUACGUUCCCGGGCCUUGUACACACCGCCCGU